GCUACGCUGGCGGCGUGCCUCAAACAUGCAAGUCGAGCGGGGCUAUGUAAUACCGCAAGGUAGAACAUAGCCUAGCGGGCGAACGGGUGAGUAACACGUGGGUAACCUGCCUGGAAGACAGGGAUAACGAUUCGAAAGGGUCGCUAAUACCUGAUAAUAUCCUUUCAUCGCAUGGUGAUAGGAAGAAAGGGGAAACCCGCUUUCAGAUGGGCCCGCGUCCCAUCAGCUAGUUGGUAAGGUAAAGGCUUACCAAGGCGACGACGGGUAGCCGGUCUGAGAGGAUGUACGGCCACACUGGGACUGAGAUACGGCCCAGACUCCUACGGGAGGCAGCAGUUGGGAAUCUUAGGCAAUGGACGAAAGUCUGACCUAGCGACGCCGCGUGAGGGAAGAAGGCCUUCGGGUUGUAAACCUCUGUCAUGGGGGAAGAAGUAAGUGACGGUACCCCAAGAGGAAGCCCCUGCUAACUACGUG
rnacentral:rRNA from 1 species